rnacentral:rRNA from 1 species
AACGAACGCUGGCGGCAUGCCUAACACAUGCAAGUCGAACGAGACCUUCGGGUCUAGUGGCGCACGGGUGCGUAACGCGUGGGAACCUGCCCUUAGGUUCGGAAUAACUCCCCGAAAGGGGUGCUAAUACCGGAUAAUGUCUUCGGACCAAAGAUUUAUCGCCUUUGGAUGGGCCCGCGUUGGAUUAGCUAGUUGGUAGGGUAAAAGCCUACCAAGGCGACGAUCCAUAGCUGGUCUGAGAGGAUGAUCAGCCACACUGGGACUGAGACACGGCCCAGACUCCUACGGGAGGCAGCAGUGGGGAAUAUUGGACAAUGGGCGAAAGCCUGAUCCAGCAAUGCCGGGUGAGUGAUGAAGGCCUUAGGGUUGUAAAGCUCUUUUACCCGGGAUGAUAAUGACAGUACCGGGAGAAUAAGCUCCGGCUAACUACGUG